AACCCUUUGUGAACUUAUACCUUAUUGUUGCCUCGGCGAAGGCUGGCCCUCCGGGGCCCCUCACCCCCACGGGUGUUGAGACAGCCCGCCGGCGGCCAAGUUAACUCUUGUUUUUACACUGGAACUCUGAGCACAAAACAUAAAUGAAUCAAAACUUUCAACAACGGAUCUCUUGGUUCUGGCAUCGAUGAAGAACGCAGCGAAAUGCGAUAAGUAAUGUGAAUUGCAGAAUUCAGUGAAUCAUCGAAUCUUUGAACGCACAUUGCGCCCUCUGGUAUUCCGGAGGGCAUGCCUGUUCGAGCGUCAUUUCAACCCUCAAGCCUGGCUUGGUGAUGGGGCACUGCUUUUACCCAAAAGCAGGCCCUGAAAUUCAGUGGCGAGCUCGCCAGGACCCCGAGCGCAGUAGUUAAACCCUCGCUCUGGAAGGCCCUGGCGGUGCCCUGCCGUUAAACCCCCAACUUUUGAAAAUUUGACCUCGGAUCAGGUAGGAAUACCCGCUGAACUUAAGCAUAUCAUAAG
rnacentral:rRNA from 1 species